AAAACCAUUAAAAAGAACAAAGGAGAAAGGCACAGCCUGUCAAACCGCACAGCACUACAAAGGCCAUCGUAAUAGAGUUGCAGGCUGCUGUCUUUUCCAGCUUGUAUGACAGAUGAAAAAUUUCAUUCUUGUGACAAAAACGGAGUAGAAGGCUCAAAAAACACCAUCAAAGGAGCAAACAAAGCAACUAAAAUCACAAUGUUAUUAUGUGUGCUAUUAACAUCUCCCUGAAGACCUAGAAGCUAGUUGCAGUGAUUUUGUUGAGAAGAUGCAGGCGCAGCAAUCUCAUGAGAAACUGAAAAGGAGGUCUGACAUAGCAGCCCAUCAUACUACUGCUUCAACUAACUGAAAACAUGACUAUACAGUACUAUCUGUAGCUGUUUUGGAGCUCUAAUUUCCUCCUUACAUAUCUUGCUUUUAUGUGUACAUAGAGUUGCACUUUCAUUUUGCAGGACACACAAGUAGCAGGAAGGUGAUUUGUUUAAGCUCUUCUGACAAAAGAAUGAUGAAGCUCACUUUAGCAAGCA